rnacentral:rRNA from 1 species
GACGAACGCUGGCGGCGUGCUUAACACAUGCAAGUCGAGCGGUAAGGCCCUUUCGGGGGUACGACGAGCGGCGAACGGGUGAGUAACACGUGGGUGACCUGCCCUCAGCUCUGGGAUAAGCCUGGGAAACCGGGUCUAAUACUGGAUAUGACUCCAUGACGCAUGUUGUGGGGUGGAAAGCCUUGUGCGGCUGAGGAUGGGCCCGCGGCCUAUCAGCUUGUUGGUGGGGUGAUGGCCUACCAAGGCGACGACGGGUAGCCGGCCUGAGAGGGCGACCGGCCACACUGGGACUGAGACACGGCCCAGACUCCUACGGGAGGCAGCAGUGGGGAAUAUUGCGCAAUGGGCGUAAGCCUGACGCAGCGACGCCGCGUGGGGA